GAUGAACGCUGGCGGCGUGCCUAAUACAUGCAAGUCGAGCGAACAGACGAGGAGCUUGCUCCUCUGACGUUAGCGGCGGACGGGUGAGUAACACGUGGAUCACCUUCUUAUAAUACUGGGAUAACUUCGGGAAACCGGAGAUAAUACUGGCUAAUAUAUUGUACCGCAUGGUUCAAUAGUGCAUGGCGGCUUUCGUGUCUCAUUUAGAUGGAUCCGCGUCGGAUUAGCUAGUUGGUAAGGUAACGGCCUACCAAGGCGACGAUGCGUAGCCGACCUGAGAGGAUGAUCAGCCACACUGGAACUGAGACACGGUCCAGACUCCUACGGGAGGCAGCAGUGGGGAAUCUUGGGCAAUGGGCGAAAGCCUGACGGAGCAACACCGCGUGAGUGAAGAAGGUCUUCGGAUCGUAAAGCUCUGUUAUUGGGGAAGAACAGAUGUGGAUGUAUCUAUGCACGUCUUGACGGUACCUAAUCAGAAAGCAACGGCUAACUACGUG
rnacentral:rRNA from 1 species